rnacentral:rRNA from 1 species
UACAGAGGGGGCAAGCGUUGUUCGGAAUUACUGGGCGUAAAGGGCGCGUAGGCGGCCCGCUAAGUCGAACGUGAAAUCCCCGGGCUCAACCCGGGAACUGCGUCCGAUACUGGUGGGCUUGAAUCCGGGAGAGGGAUGCGGAAUUCCAGGUGUAGCGGUGAAAUUCGUAGAUAUUCGCAAGAACACCAGUGGCGAAGGCGGCUCACUGGCCCGGUACUGACGCUGAGGUGCGAAAGCGUGGGGAGCAAACAGG